UGAUGUCACUUCCUGCCCUCCCCCUUCCCAGAGAGUGCACUGAAGGCCACACUGCUCUGCUUUUACUAUAUUCUCUCAGCAGCACUGAGUCAACAUGAUCAGACUUCUCCUUAUUAUCACGGUCUCAUUUCUCUCAGUGAGAGGUGUGCAGAGUAAAGUCAUUAUGGCCCCCAGAAUUCUCUGGGGUAAUUUGGGGGACCCGGCCCAGAUGAACUGCAGCCACACGUUGGGAGCAGCUUACAAUCAGAUGUACUGGUACAAACAGAACCCACUUGAGGGUAUUCAGCUAAUAGUUUUUACUUCUUAUGCAAGCCCUGAAUUUGGUGAUGUUAGCAAAGACAGGUAUGUGGCAGAGAAAGCUGUGGCUGAAAGAGGCUCUCUCAAGGUGAAGAAGCUGGAGGCAGAAGACAGCGGCACAUAUUUCUGUGCAGCCGGUGAACACGGCCCUGCAGACUCAUUGGCUGGGUGAACAUAAACCUCCCCGUGCCAGUCUCACUGUGACAGGGGAGGAGCAGACCUGAAACGAAGCCAAGAACACAAACGGCAGUGAGGCUCUCCUGCAGGGGGCUGUAAAGCUUCAUAAAGAGGCAGACAUGUCAUUUAAAAAAUUACUUUUCUCUUGUCUCCUCCUCCCCUCCCCCCAAAGACAUUCCUGUUAAUUGGUCACCUUAUUCCAUUGUGAUGUCACUUCCUUCUUCAUGAAAUGGAUAACUGAUGCUGCUCUUUCUCAAGUAGUGAAGCAAGAAAAUGAUCCAAGCGUACCCCAGGCUAACAGCAGCCUUACUCUGGUUGACAGGGCUGGCGCUCAGUAAUAAAGUUAAUCAGUCUCCUGCUGAACUGAUGAGAGACUCUGGAGGAUCCAUGCAGCUCAACUGCAGUCAUACCAUCCCAUCUCAAUACACCAUACUGUGGUACCAUCGAGCACCAGGGGACAGUGCCCUGACUCUGAUGGGAUAUGUUUAUUAUAAUGAACCAACCGUAGAAACCUUAUAUAAGGAUCACUGCAGUUUGAGUGGAGAUGGUUCAGUGGCAGCAUCUCUUCACGUCCCGAAAGUGAACUCCAACGACAGUGGAGUGUAUUUCUG